rnacentral:rRNA from 1 species
UACGGAGGAGGCAAGCGUUAUCCGGAAUUAUUGGGCGUAAAGCGUCCGCAGGCGGCACUUCAAGUCUGCCGUCAAAGACCGGGGCUUAACCCCAGAAAGGCGGUGGAAACUGAAGCGCUAGAGUGCGGUAGGGGUAGAGGGAAUUCCCGGUGUAGCGGUGAAAUGCGUAGAGAUCGGGAAGAACAUCGGUGGCGAAAGCGCUCUACUGGACCGCAACUGACACUGAGGGACGAAAGCUAGGGGAGCGAAUGGG